UUUAUGGAGAGUUUGAUCCUGGCUCAGGAUGAACGCUGGCGGCGUGCCUAAUACAUGCAAGUCGAGCGAACAGACGAGGAGCUUGCUCCUCUGACGUUAGCGGCGGACGGGUGAGUAACACGUGGAUAACCUACCUAUAAGACUGGGAUAACUUCGGGAAACCGGAGCUAAUACCGGAUAAUAUAUUGAACCGCAUGGUUCAAUAGUGAAAGACGGUUUUGCUGUCACUUAUAGAUGGAUCCGCGCCGCAUUAGCUAGUUGGUAAGGUAACGGCUUACCAAGGCAACGAUGCGUAGCCGACCUGAGAGGGUGAUCGGCCACACUGGAACUGAGACACGGUCCAGACUCCUACGGGAGGCAGCAGUAGGGAAUCUUCCGCAAUGGGCGAAAGCCUGACGGAGCAACGCCGCGUGAGUGAUGAAGGUCUUCGGAUCGUAAAACUCUGUUAUUAGGGAAGAACAAAUGUGUAAGUAACUAUGCACGUCUUGACGGUACCUAA
rnacentral:rRNA from 2 species